UACGAAGGGGGCUAGCGUUGUUCGGAAUUACUGGGCGUAAAGCGCACGUAGGCGGACUGUUAAGUCAGGGGUGAAAUCCUGGAGCUCAACUCCAGAACUGCCUUUGAUACUGAUGGUCUCGAGUCCGGAAGAGGUGAGUGGAAUUCCGAGUGUAGAGGUGAAAUUCGUAGAUAUUCGGAGGAACACCAGUGGCGAAGGCGGCUCACUGGUCCGGUACUGACGCUGAGGUGCGAAAGCGUGGGGAGCAAACAGG
rnacentral:rRNA from 1 species